rnacentral:lncRNA from 1 species
UGAAGGAGGGGACGACGUGGUUUAAAAGAAAGGAAGUUGUUAAAAUAGAAUCUACUUUGAAAUGCAAUCACAUUUUAAAGGUGAACGAAAUUAGAUUAAAAAAAAAAGCCUACCUUUUGAGUUACUUUCAGAAGAUAACACAGGGUAAGUAAAACAAGUUUUUUUCUUGUAAAAUUGUAUUUGGUUUAUCUUUCUGUUUCUUUCUGAUAUGCCUUUUGAAUAUCAUUCAAAAAGCUACGUUACUACAAUUCAUAAAAUGUUUUCUCUGCUAUUGAUAUCUUCUGUGAAAAGAAGACAGAUAUUUAAGAGGCUAAAUUAAUUCAAGUGACGUUCUGAAAAUUAAAAUUCACCUUGAAAGUACCUUUCACAUAAUCAUGAUUUUACAUCUGAGACACUUAAAACUUCUCAUUUUAAUUAGUUUUUCAAAGCAGUUUUUUUUUUUUUUUUCAAUAGAGUAAGUGGUAGUUCUUACUUCUGAAGGCUGAAGCUGUGUCUUUGGUUCCCACAGUCCUGUAGGCACAGGCCAGUUUGAAAGCAACUGCCACGAGCAUUCGAAGGCCAAUAGGGACAGAGCAAAUCCUCGUUUCUAAAUAUGGGAGCCUGGGUUUGCUGGCUGGAGCUCCAGGAUUAACAUUCCACCGCCCUGGACCCUUACUCAAUUCCUCCUUCCACGGUUCUUUGCUAAACCUGAGACCAGAUGGGUAGCAGGCCAUUAAAGUACAGCAGAAAGUCAUUUUUCUGAAGUCUGAGACUUGAUCUAUCUGCAUAACAAUAUUUUCAGAGUUUAUAUUUAUUAACUCUAAAAGAGCAAUGUGACUUUAAAAUAUGUUUGUAGCAGUUGUUUCUUGCCUAAAUAAUCUUUCACUGUGUAAUGAGUGCGUGUGUGGGAUGCAGGACUUAACUAAUUCCUCAGGCUAACUGACCAUGUCUUUUACUAACAGACAAGAAUGACAAAACCUUGGAUUGUGUCUGUUUCUCCAUCAGCCAGUGUAAAGUGGCACAUAGGCUUUACUUCAGAAGGGGUGUGCAAUCUUCCCUGGGCCACACUGGAAGGAGAAGAAUUGCCUUUGGGCCAUGCGUAAAAUACACUAGUGAUAGCUGAUGAGUUUUUAAAAAAUUGCAAAAAAAUCUUAUAAUGUUUUAAGAGGGUUUACGAAUUUGUGUUAGUCCACGUUCAAAGAUGUCCUGGGCCAUAUGCGGCCCAUGAGCAGUGGGCUGGACAAACUUGCUUUCUGCUUCUGCGUUAUAUUAAACUUGCAAGGCCUUUCUGUUUGCAAUUAAUGGAAAAUAUUGUCAUGAAUACUCAAUAGGU